CUCGGCUCUCGCAUCGAUGAAGAACGUAGCGAAAUGCGAUACUUGGUGUGAAUUGCAGAAUCCCGCGAACCAUCGAGUCUUUGAACGCAAGUUGCGCCCCAAGCCUUCUGGCCGAGGGCACGUCUGCCUGGGUGUCACAAAUCGUCGUCCCCAUUCUUUGCGGA
rnacentral:rRNA from 1 species